CUGCCAGUAGGAGGCGCUGCUCGAAUCUAUUUAUAGCUGUUCUCCUCUGACUCACGGGUAACGUUAGUUUACGACGAAAACGCUGCAUCUUUGAGUUUUAAGUCGAUCAUGGAUACAUUUCGAGUCAUUCAUCGAGGAACCUGCACUAUUUCCCAGUCCAGUGACAGUUUUCAGGACCCUUGCUCUCUAUGGAGGAUGAGAAAGCUCCAGGAUUUCAUCUAAAAUAUCUUCAUUUGUGUGCUGAAGAUUGAAACGACACCAUGAACAGCGUACGGAUCUCACAGAUUUCAAGACUCUUGCUGUCUGUGGAGGAUGAGAGAGCUCCAGGAUUUCAUCUAAAAUAUCUUCAUCUGUGUCCUGAAGCUCUCUGAGGAUUCAAAUGACACCAGGGCAGGCUGCUCCUGCAAUGCCAUUUCAGACAGAUUUUCUGGAGCUUUGGGCUGUGCAGAAAUGAAUGCCUUUGGAAAGCUGUGUUUCUGGUCAGUAGUGACCCACUGGCGUUUGGUCCGAGUGACUGCAGGUGCGACGGUCGAUUUCUAGUCUCUCCGGCCCGCUUUACCCACACAUCUGUGCUGAAAUAGUUAUCACUGAUGACACCCAACCUAAUUGCUAAUUACACGCCUCGGCAAACACAUUUUCUCUCUCUCCAUUCUGCUUUUUCUGAGGCGAAAUCUUGAGACUUACUUAUUUUUCCACUUUAUUCGCUGCACUUGGAUCCUCAGACUCGUGUCCUUUGGAAGAGGAAGAGAAAAAAAAGAAGCGAGCGUGACUGUAAAACACUCUCUCAGUUGGUUUGAGCAAAUUAAAUUUCCAGUUUGAUAAAUGUGGGAAUCUGCUUCUCGUCAAUGACGAAUGAAUUCUUUGCAGCUGCUGCGAGAGAAUAUUGUGUAAGUGGAGUUUGCGGGAUGGAGAUCGUCAUUUUGGUUUUUGGAAAUGAUCUUAUAUUUAAGGCUUGCGUUUGCAAUUUUCACAUAAAUAAAUAAGGCAAUAGAAUUAAAGUGUGUCAUAGGAAAGACGUAGGAGCAUGUGGGAGUAUGUUUAUAUAAAUGCGGAAAGAUUUUUUUAAUGAGUAGAUUUAAAUGAUUAAAGAUUAAUCAUGUUC
ensembl:processed_transcript